UGCCCAGCAACUCCUAUCCCUACCUCCUCGUGGUACGGCCGAAAACUAUAAACAACCUUAGGGAAGAUCGGGUAACCAACCCCGGUGGGAACUUUGGUCAUAGGCUGACAGGGAAGG
rnacentral:ribozyme from 1 species